rnacentral:rRNA from 1 species
UACGUAGGGUGCGAGCGUUAAUCGGAAUUACUGGGCGUAAAGCGUGCGCAGGCGGUUCGCUGUGUCCGAUGUGAAAGCCCCGGGCUCAACCUGGGAAUGGCAUGGGAAACUGGCGGGCUGGAGUGUGGCAGAGGGGGGUGGAAUUCCGCGUGUAGCAGUGAAAUGCGUAGAGAUCCGGAAGAACACCGGAGGCGAAGGCGGCUUGCUGGGCUUGGUCUGACGCUGAGGCGCGAAAGCGUGGGGAGCGAACAGG